UUACCGACUUCACAAAAAGGAGGAGGUACUAUGUUCGGCUGUUUGUAUGUUUUUUUUUUUUUUUGUAUGUUUGUUCAUCGAAUACUCCGUCAAUUGUCGACGGACUUUCAAAAUUCUUUUUUUGUUCGAAAGUAGAUAGUUCUGAGGUGGUCCCAUUGUCACCAAGUUAGGAUCUGAUGAUGGAAUCUUAGAGAAAUCGAGGGAACUCCUCAAAUAUUAUAGGGAGCUAUAUAGUGAUUUUGGUAUAUUUAUCUAGAAUUGAAGCAUUUACAGUCAAAAAGUAACCUUUGAAGAGGUGGAACUGAUGAAGAAGACCAGAAAUGGCCAAUGGAACUUCAUACUCACAUAGAAAUCACAAUAAAGUUAAUUAAUACUCCGUCAAUUGUCGACAGAUUUUCACAAUUCUUUUUUUUGUUCGAAAGUAGAUAGUUCUGAGGUGGUCCCAUUGUCACCAAGUUAGGAUCUGAUGAUGGAAUCUUAGAGAAAUCGAGGGAACUCCUCAAAUAUUAUAGGGAGCUAUAUAGUGAUUUUGGUAUAUUUAUCUAGAAUUGAAGCAUUUACAGUCAAAAAGUAACCUUUGAAGAGGUGGAACUGAUGAAGAAGACCAGAAAUGGCCAAUGGAACUUCAUACUCACAUAGAAAUCACAAUAAAGUUAAUUAAUACUCCGUCAAUUGUCGACGGAUUUUCAAAAUUCUUUUUUGUUCGAAAGUAGAUAGUUCUGAGGUGGUCCCAUUGUCACCAAGUUAGGAUCUGAUGAUGGGAUCUUAGAGAAAUCGAGGGAACUCCUCAAAUAUUAUAGGGAACUAUAUAGUGAUUUUGGUAUAUUCAUCUAGAAUUGAAGCAUUUACAGACAAAAAGUAACCUUUGAAGAGGUGGAACUGAUGAAGAAGACCAGAAAUGGCCAAUAGAACUUCAUACUCACUUAGAAAUCACAAUAAAGUUAAUUAAGUGACU